GACGAACGCUGGCGGCGUGCUUAACACAUGCAAGUCGAGCGGUAAGGCCCUUUCGGGGGUACACGAGCGGCGAACGGGUGAGUAACACGUGGGUGACCUGCCCUCAGCUCUGGGAUAAGCCCGGGAAACUGGGUCUAAUACCGGAUAUGACUCCAUGACGCAUGUUGUGGGGUGGAAAGCCUUGUGCGGCUGAGGAUGGGCCCGCGGCCUAUCAGCUUGUUGGUGGGGUGAUGGCCACCAAGGCGACGACGGGUAGCCGGCCUGAGAGGGCGACCGGCCACACUGGGACUGAGACACGGCCCAGACUCCUACGGGAGGCAGCAGUGGGGAAUCUUGCGCAAUGGGCGAAAGCCUGACGCAGCGACGCCGCGUGAGGGAUGACGGCCUCGGUUGUAA
rnacentral:rRNA from 1 species